CGGCAACAGCUCAAAUUUGAAAUCUGGUCUCCUCGAGGCCCGAGUUGUAAUUUGCAGAAGAUGCUUCGGGCGUGGCCCGGGCCUAAGUGCCUUGGAACAGGACGUCACAGAGGGUGAGAAUCCCGUAUGUGGCCAGGUGCCCACGCCCAUGUGAAGCUCUUUCGAC
rnacentral:rRNA from 1 species